rfam:Gossypium raimondii Chr05_contig_1072, whole genome shotgun sequence.
UGAGAGGACCUUGCCCUAGUACAAGAGGACCGGGAAGGACGCACCUCUAGUGUACCAGUUAUCGCGCCCACGGUAAACGCUGGGUAGCCAAGUGCGAUUUGUUAAGCGCCAUGAUAUGGAAAUACCUCCACAUGUAAA